CAGGAUCCCCUAGUAACUGCGAGUGAAGCGGGAAAAGCUCAAAUUUGAAAUCUGGCGGUCCUUUGCGGCCGUCCGAGUUGUAAUCUAGAGAAGUGCUACCCGCGCUGGACCGUGUACAAGUCUCCUGGAAUGGAGCGUCACAGAGGGUGAGAAUCCCGUCUUUGACACGGACUGCCAGGGCUUAUGUGGUGCGCUCUCGAAGAGUCGAGUUGUUUGGGAAUGCAGCUCUAAAUGGGUGGUAAAUUCCAUCUAAAGCUAAAUACAGGCGAGAGACCGAUAGCGAACAAGUACCGUGAGGGAAAGAUGAAAAGAACUUUGGAAAGAGAGUUAAACAGUACGUGAAAUUGCUGAAAGGGAAACGUUUGAAGUCAGUCGCGUUGGCUGGGGAUCAACCUUGCUCUUGCAGGGCGCACUCUCUGGCUCGACGGGUCAGCAUCAGUUUCGGCCGCUGGAGAAAGGCUAGGGGAAUGUGGCAUCGCUUCGGUGAUGUGUUAUAGCCCUUGGUCGUAUGCAGCGGCUGGGACUGAGGAACUCAGCCUGCCCUUAACUGGGCCGGGUCUUUUUGACCACGCUUAACGGGCUUAGGAUGCUGGCAUAAUGGCUUUAAGCGACCCGUCUUGAAACACGGACCAAGGAGUCUAACAUGCUUGCGAGUGUUUGGGUGGAAAACCCGAGCGCGUAAUGAAAGUGAAAGUUGGGAACCCUGUCGUGGGGUGCACCGACGCCCGGACCAGACCUUCUUGCGACGGCUCCGCGGUAGAGCAGGCAUGUUGGGACCCGAAAGAUGGUGAACUAUGCCUGAAUAGGGUGAAGCCAGAGGAAACUCUGGUGGAGGCUCGUAGCGAUUCUGACGUGCAAAUCGAUCGUCAAAUUUGGGUAUAGGGGCGAAAGACUAAUCGAACCAUCUAGUAGCUGGUUCUGCAG
rnacentral:rRNA from 1 species